rnacentral:rRNA from 1 species
GACGAACGCUGGCGGCGUGCUUAACACAUGCAAGUCGAACGGAAAGGCCCUGCUUUUGUGGGGUGCUCGAGUGGCGAACGGGUGAGUAACACGUGAGUAACCUGCCCUUGACUUUGGGAUAACUUCAGGAAACUGGGGCUAAUACCGGAUAGGAGCUCCUGCUGCAUGGUGGGGGUUGGAAAGUUUCGGCGGUUGGGGAUGGACUCGCGGCUUAUCAGCUUGUUGGUGGGGUAGUGGCUUACCAAGGCUUUGACGGGUAGCCGGCCUGAGAGGGUGACCGGCCACAUUGGGACUGAGAUACGGCCCAGACUCCUACGGGAGGCAGCAGUGGGGAAUAUUGCACAAUGGGCGGAAGCCUGAUGCAGCAACGCCGCGUGCGGGAGGACGGCCUUCGGGUUGUAAACCGCUUUCGCCUGUGACGAAGCGUGAGUGACGGUAAUGGGUAAAGAAGCACCGGCGAACUACGG